rnacentral:rRNA from 1 species
GAAAGACUACAGGAUUCCCCUAGUAACUGCGAGUGAAGAGGGAAAAGCUCAAAUUUUAAAUCUGACAGUCUAUGGCUGUCCGAGUUGUAAAUUGGAGAAGUGUCAUCUGCGCUGGCCUGUGCAAAAGUCUCUUGGAAAAGAGCAUCAUAGAGGGUGACAAUCCCGUCUUUGGCACAGACACCCAGGGCUUUGUGAUGCGCUUUCAACGAGUCGAGUUGUUUGGGAAUGCAGCUCCAAAUGGGUGGUAAAUUCCAUCUAAAGCUAAAUAUUGGCGAGAGACCGAUAGCGCACAAGUACCGUGAGGGAAAGAUGAAAAGAACUUUGAAAAGAGAGUUAAACAGUAUGUGAAAUUGUUGAAAGGGAAACGCUUGAAGUCAGUUGUCUCCUGUUGAAAUCAACUCAACCUUGGUUGGGUGCACUUUCUGCAGGAAGAGUCAGCAUCAAUUUUGAUCAUUGGAUAAAGGCUCUGGGAAGGUGGCAUCUUCGGAUGUGUUAUAGACCAGGGUUCAGAUGCAAUGAUUGAGAUUGUGGAACUCAGUGUGACAUUUUAUAUGUUUGGGGCUUCGGCUCACAUUCACACUUAGGAUGCUGGCAUAAUGGCUUUAAUCGACCCGUCUUGAAACACGGACCAAGGAGUCUAACAUGCAUGCGAGUGUUUGGGUGAAAAACUCAAGCGCGAAAUGAAAGUGAAAGUUGAGAACCCUGUCAUGGGGUGCAUCGACACCCGGACCUGACCUUUUGUGAAGGAUCUGCGGCAGAGCAUGUAUGUUGGGACCCGAAAGAUGGUGAACUAUGCCUGAAUAGGGUGAAGCCAGAGGAAACUCUGGUGGAAGCUCGUAGCGAUUCUGACGUGCAAAUCGAUCGUUGAAUUUGGGUAUAGGGGCGAAAGACUAAUCGAACCAUCUAGUAGCUGGUUCCCC